rnacentral:tRNA from 6 species
GGGUAUCGGCUCCUGGUGGAGCGGCGGCGCAAGCCGUAGGCCUGGUUCAAUUCCGGAAUACCCACCA